GCCGAGGUAGCCCAACAGGCACGAGGCGCGGAGCUCAAACCUCCGUCGUUGCGGGUUCGAGUCCCGCCCUCGGCACCC
rnacentral:tRNA from 1 species